GACGUCAUCUCGGAGCGGGGCGGGUCUGCAGCGCCCCCUGCCGGCCGCGCGGGCCCGCCGCACCCCCCGGCCCUGAGGGAGAUGCCGGGGCCGGGCCGGGGGGUCCCUCCCGCCCUGCCCGAACCCCCGUAAUCGAACCACCGCGCCAGUUCCCCUUGCACUCGGCACUGGUCAGGCCGCACCUUCAGUCCUCUGUCCAGAUUCGGGCCUCUCAAUUCCGGAAGGAUAUUAAGGGGCUGGAGCACGUCCAGAGAAGGGAACGAAGCUGAGGAAGGGUCACCAGUCUGACGAGGAGCAGCUGAAGGAGCUGGGGGCGGGACUCAGCCUGAAGAAAAGGAGGCUCGGGGCCUUUCCUGCCCUCCACAGCUCCCUGAGAGAGGAGGGUGCAGCUGGAGGCUGGGCUCUGCUCCCAGGGAACGGGGACAGGACAGGAGAACGUGGCCUCAUGCUGCAGCAGAAGGAAGAAAACCAGCCUGCUUAAAAAUAAAGACCUCUGCGCCACCAUCUACCUGCCAACCAAACUCCAGGUUAAGAUGUGGAAGCUCUAGGUGUACUUGCAAAGGUCCUGUAACUCCCUGCUAUUCUUGGCAACCCCAGAAGGUGUCUCUGUGCUUGGAACAGUGCAGAGAGAACAGACACAAGGACAAGCCACUCAGGUACAAAAGGAGCACAAAGCAACAAAGCUGUGCCAAUGCAGCACUUCAGCCAGAGGGCUGCAGAUACCAGGUAGGACUGCCCUCAAAUCCUUUUGCACGGGAACAUCAAAUACCUCUAGUGCUAUGCUCCUCAGACUGCCAGGCUGGGGAGUCUGAUGUUUCCUACCGAGAGCUCGAGCUGCCCCAGAGGAGGGCAGCAGAGUCCCGGCAUUCACAUUGAGACAGCCCUACUUCAAGUUGCUCACAGAAGCCGGUGGGAAUGCAAGAGUUUGGGUAGGCCUCCCAUGAGGAAGGGUGUGGAGAUGACAGCAGCGCUGGCCGCCCUCUCACUCACCAGGCACUGCUCCAUGCAACAGCUUCUUAACCUGUGAGUGCUCAGCACAGGGCAAGAAGAAAGAAGGCUGGCCUUGACAAAGGAAUUUUUCUUUCUCCAAACACAUAGUAGCUGGCUGACCCUGGCUGGAUGCCAGACUACCAAAGCCACUCUAUCACUCCCCUUCUCAUCUGGAUAGGGGAAAGAAAAUAUAACAAAAGUUCAUGAGUUCUAAGGCCAUGGAGAGAUUAUUCACCAAAAUACUGUCUUAGGCAAAAAAAAGCUCAAUUUGGGGAUAUUAAUUGAAUUUAUUACUAUUUAGAGCAGAAUAAUGAGAAAUAAAAUAAAU